CACGUGUCUAAGAUCACAGGACACUGUGGUCAUUUCCUGCUGUGAUCACAACAGGUGCAAUAAGCCAUGUGCUUUUCUAAAACGUCAUUAAACCACAAUUGCAGGCUCUCUUGUUCUGUUGGGAGUGACCGCCGCCAAAGGACGCGGUGGCCGAUGUGGUCGUAAAGGAUGACGUGUGAACGAAAUCUCUAAUACUCUGACGUAUUCCAACCGUUGUCAUGGUCUGAUGAAAUAGCUACUGUUGUCAUGGGGACGUGACGUAAUGUAUUUGAGACCUUUCAAUGUGAUGUAUUGGUUGGAUGUGUCAGAGAAUCAAA